UACGAAGGGGGCUAGCGUUGCUCGGAAUUACUGGGCGUAAAGGGAGCGUAGGCGGACAUUUUAAGUCAGGGGUGAAAUCCCAGAGCUCAACUCUGGAACUGCCUUUGAUACUGGGUGGUCUUGAGUAUGAUAGAGGUAUGUGGAACUCCGGAGUGUAGAGGUGAAAUUCGUAGAUAUUCGGAAGAACACCAGUGGCGAAGGCGACAUACUGGAUCAUUACUGACGCUGAGGCUCGAAAGCGUGGGGAGCAACAGG
rnacentral:rRNA from 1 species